AACAUCUAAGUACCCCGAGGAAAAGAAAUCAACCGAGAUUCCGAAAGUAGCGGCGAGCGAAAUUGGACUAGCCCUUAAGCUUUACACGCGUUAGACGAACGGUCUGGAAAGUCCGACGAUACAGGGUGAUAGUCCCGUAGUUGACGACGUGUGUUCAGUGAAAUCGAGUAGGGCGGGACACGUGAUAUCCUGUCUGAAUAUGGGGGGACCAUCCUCCAAGGCUAAAUACUACUGACUGACCGAUAGUGAACCAGUACCGUGAGGGAAAGGCGAAAAGAACCCCUGUGAGGGGAGUGAAAUAGAACCUGAAACCGUGUACGUACAAGCAGUAGGAGCAGGCUUUGUCCUGUGACUGCGUACCUUUUGUAUAAUGGGUCAGCGACUUAUAUUCAGUGGCAAGGUUAACCAUCUAGGGGAGCCGUAGGGAAACCGAGUCUUAACUGGGCGUUCAGUCUCUGGAUAUAGACCCGAAACCAGGUGAUCUAGCCAUGGGCAGGUUGAAGGUUGAGUAACAUCAACUGGAGGACCGAACCGACUAAUGUUGAAAAAUUAGCGGAUGACUUGUGGCUAGGGGUGAAAGGCCAAUCAAACCUGGAGAUAGCUGGUUCUCCCCGAAAGCUAUUUAGGUAGCGCCUCGGACGAAUACUACUGGGGGUAGAGCACUGUUAAGGCUAGGGGGUCAUCCCGACUUACCAACCCUUUGCAAACUCCGAAUACCAGUAAGUACUAUCCGGGAGACACACGGCGGGUGCUAACGUCCGUCGUGGAGAGGGAAACAACCCAGACCGCCAGCUAAGGUCCCAAAUUACUACUAAGUGGGAAACGAUGUGGGAAGGCUCAGACAGCCAGGAUGUUGGCUUAGAAGCAGCCAUCAUUUAAAGAAAGCGUAAUAGCUCACUGGUCGAGUCGGCCUGCGCGGAAGAUGUAACGGGGCUAAGUAGUAAACCGAAGCUGCGGCAAUGUGCUUUUGCACAUUGGGUAGGGGAGCGUUCUGUAAGCGGUUGAAGGUGUGUGGUAACGCAUGCUGGACGUAUCAGAAGUGCGAAUGCUGACAUGAGUAACGAUAAAGGGGGUGAAAAACCUCCUCGCCGGAAGACCAAGGGUUCCUGUCCAACGUUAAUCGGGGCAGGGUAAGUCGACCCCUAAGGCGAGGCCGAAAGGCGUAGUCGAUGGGAAACGGGUUAAUAUUCCCGUACUUCUUACAAUUGCGAUGGGGGGACGGAGAAGGCUAGGUGGGCCUGGCGACGGUUGUCCAGGUUCAAGUGCGUAGGCUUGAGAGUUAGGUAAAUCCGGCUCUCUUUAAGGCUGAGACACGACGUCGAGCACCUACGGGUGUGAAGUCAUUGAUGCCAUGCUUCCAGGAAAAGCCUCUA
rnacentral:rRNA from 1 species